UACGGAGGGGGCUAGCGUUAUUCGGAAUUACUGGGCGUAAAGCGCCCGUAGGCGGACUGGAAAGUCAGAGGUGAAAUCCCAGGGCUCAACCUUGGAACUGCCUUUGAAACUCCCAGUCUUGAGGUCGAGAGAGGUGAGUGGAAUUCCGAGUGUAGAGGUGAAAUUCGUAGAUAUUCGGAGGAACACCAGUGGCGAAGGCGGCUCACUGGCUCGAUACUGACGCUGAGGUGCGAAAGCGUGGGGAGCAAACAGG
rnacentral:rRNA from 1 species